rnacentral:siRNA from 1 species
CUAAAACCAACAAAUAUUUGCUU